rnacentral:rRNA from 1 species
CUGCAGCGGGAUUUAUUAGAUCAAAAACCAAUCGCAUCUCCCUGCCAUGGGCGAGUGCGUGGCGGGAUGAAUCAUAAUAACUUUUUUUUUUUUUUUUUUUCCGAACCGUAUGGCUUCCAAUUCUCAUGGCCGGCGGUAAAUCAUUCAAAUUUCUGCCCUAUCAACUUUCGAUGGUUGGGUAGUGGCCAACCAUGGUGUUGACGGGUACGGGGAAUUAGGGUUCGAUUCCGGAGAGGGAGCCUGAGAGAUGGCUACCACAUCCAAGGAAGGCAGCAGGCGCGAAAAUUACCCAAUCCUGAUUCAGGGAGGUAGCGACAAGAAAUAACGGUAGUGGACUCGUUCGAGUCUGCUCAUCGGAAUGAGGAUAGUUUACACCCCUUCUCGAGGAUCCAUUGGAGGGCAAGUCUGGUGCCAGCAGCCGCGGUAACUCCAGCUCCAAUAGCGUAUACUAAAGUUGCUGCAG